rnacentral:rRNA from 1 species
UACAGAGGUCUCGAGCGUUGUUCGGAUUCAUUGGGCGUAAAGGGCGCGUAGGCGGCGGGGUAAGUCUGGUGUGAAAUCUCGGAGCUCAACUCCGAAAUUGCACUGGAUACUGCUCUGCUAGAGGGCUGGAGAGGAGAUCGGAAUUCACGGUGUAGCAGUGAAAUGCGUAGAUAUCGUGAGGAAGACCAGUGGCGAAGGCGGAUCUCUGGACAGCUCCUGACGCUGAGGCGGACGAGCUAGGGGAGCAAACGGG